AUGCAUGAGGGAAAAAUAUCUACCCUCUAUUCAGCAUAUAUAAGUUGACCCUUCUAUACUCUUUUAUUACUCAAUACUCAUUUUAUCUUUUGUCUUCUCUCUCUCGUUCAUAAACCCUAGCUAGUUUAGUCGAUGGCUGGUACCUACGGUUACGAAGGCGGCGGAUCUGCGCCGCCACCUAGUGGCGUAAACUAUGGAGGUAGCGGCGGCGGGUAUGGAUCCGGCGGUGGAGGAUAUGGUGGUUCUGGUUCAGGUGGUGGUUACGGAGGCGGCAGUGGCGGAUCAUACGGUGGCGGCGGUGGUAGAGGUGGUGGUGGUCGAGGAGGUGGAGGAUAUGGUGGUGGUGGUUCGCAUAAUCGAGGAGGCGGCGGUGGAUAUCAAGGAGGAGAUCGCGGAGGCGGCGGUGGAUACCAAGGCGGAGAUCGUGGUGGUGGCGGAGGAUACCAAGGGGGAGAUCGUGGAGGCGGCGGUGGAUAUCAAGGAGGAGAUCAUGGAGGCGGCGGUGGAUACCAAGGCGGAGAUCGUGGAGGUCGCGGCGGCGGUCGCGGUGGAGGUGGUAAGGAAGGUGAUUGGCGUUGCCCUAACCCAAGUUGUGGAAAUUUGAACUUUGCUAGAAGAGUUGAAUGUAACAAAUGUGGUGCACCUUCACCUGCUGGUUCUGACGAUCGUGGUGGCAGAGGUGGUGGCAGUUAUAACAGAGGUGGAAGUGAUGGGGGAUAUGGAAAUAGUCGAGGGGGAAGAGGUGACAACUAUGAUAGCAGAAAUGCUGGAGGUGGUAGGACUGGUUCUUACGGUGGUAGUCAGGGAAGAGAUGGUGGUGGUUAUGCUCAUGGUCCUCCACAUGCUCCUCCAUCUUAUGGGGCAGCUGAUGGCAACUAUCCACCACCUUCUAAUACUUAUGGUGGAAAUCCUGAUGCAGUUCCACCACCCACGAGUUAUGUUGGUGGACCUGCAUCAUAUCCCCCUUCGUAUGGUGCCCCUGGCGGAUAUGGUGGGGAUACAUCAGCUGAUGCCCGUGGGGGUGGACGAGGUGGUCCACCAGGAGGAUAUGAUGGGGGAUAUGGCAGUGGUGGCCGGAAUGCAGGAGGUGGUUAUGGUAGUGCUCCAGCUGAGGCUCCUGUAAAGGUCAAACAAUGUGAUGAGAACUGUGGAGAUUUCUGUGACAACGCAAGAAUAUAUAUCUCAAAUUUGCCUCCUGAUGUGACCAUUGAAGAACUUAGAGAACUUUUUGGGAGCAUUGGACAAGUGGCAAGAAUCAAGCAAAAACGUGGCUAUAAAGAUCAGUGGCCUUGGAGCAUAAAGCUAUACACAGACGAACAGGGAAACAACAAAGGAGAUGCAGUUUUGUCAUAUGAAGAUCCGUCUGCAGCGCACUCUGCUGGAGGCUUUUUCAAUAAUCAUGACUUCAGAGGUUACAAAAUCACUGUUGGGAUGGCUGAAAAGUCCGCUCCAAAGCCUCCUCCAGCAUUUGGUUCUGGCCGUGGCGGUCGAGGAGGUUAUGGUGGUGGUGGGCGCCGGGAUAACUACAGAGACAGUGGAGGUUCUGGACCAGAUAGACAGUUUCAUGGUGGAAACCGUUCACGUCCUUACUGAGUUCCAGCCAAGCAUUUUAUGUACUAAAAAUAUUGUGGUGGGAGGGUUUUUAGUUAGUUCCAUUUCAAGAUAUACUCUCUGUGGCUAAGAGAGGCGAUUGGAUAUUCUGCAAAUUGCUGCUAAGGUAGGUGAACUAUUCAGAUGUUUCAUCCGAGAAGAGGAGCAGCAACUUUCAGGUCUAGCAGUGGGUUUUGUUGCCGUUAAGACCUUGUUUUUCGGUCUAGGCUGCACUUUGAUUCUUUUUCCUCGAGAAGAUGAAUUGGGUCAAGCUGAAUGGAAAUUUACCCACUUGUUUAGCCGAA